AAUAUGCACACAAUGUAUAAAAAUAAAUUUAUGAAAACAAAUAUCCUCAUAAUGUGUAAAUUUUAGAGAAUGUGUGAGCACGCACUAAAUAAUUAUUGCAGUAAUGGAAACUCAAAUUUGAAUUUGUAAGAAUAAAGAUUAAGUAAAUAAUGUUUUAACAUGAUGGUAGAAUAGAAUUGGGAAUUAGCUACAGCCUAUUAAUGUGAUUACAGUUGCUGCAGAAUUAAAAUCCAUUAAUUCAAGAUAACAUAAAUGUUUUGUGGAUAUGUUAUACUUACUUCUACUCUACAAUAAAUUUUCAAUUGCUGCAGGAUCAUCAAGAUCCUGAUUAGCUACCUCAAGGAUAUGCUGCAGUGCAUAAUGGAGUUUGAACAAAAAUCCACGGUACAAAGAACCAACAGGUAAUUUCACAAUUUUUGAACUUGAUGAAAAAAUUACCAAGCUUAUAUCUCAACCCGAACUGGGUAAGGGUGAUGAACUAUACCAGGCUGUAUACACACUUCACUUGGAGUUGCUAGAAAUACAUGAUGUAUUUAACUGGCAUCGUGACUGUCCAAAAUCCUUGGCACUUGGAAAAGAAAUUGUGAAACGAAGUGGUUUAAACAUUUUUAAGACUUUCAUAAAUGAAGAAAGUUUGAAAGAUGUCUAUAAAUACAACAAUGCUCAGGUAUAUGAAAUCGUUGAUUUAAUAACGAAUUGUGAAAGAUUGUAUAACUCUUCUGAACCCAUUAUAAAACAGGGUGAAGUAAAUUAAUGAUUUUUGAAUUUAUUCCUUGUAAAUAAUACUAAAUAGACCAAGGGAAGAAAUCUAUACACCUCUAAAUGUAAACUUAUAAUGCUGUAAUUUUAGGUACUACAUUUUUUGUUCCGUGAUCAUUUUAAAAUAUUCUCCAACUGUACAUCAAUGAUUAAAAGAAAGAAUUUGUUUGGAUGGUAGUUAAUGCCAGUGGUGGAGGAAGGAAGAGAAAACUUCUGAUUUUUUAACACUAGCAGACAACCAAUUAAAUCCAAUUUUAAUAUCCAAGAUAGUAAUUUCAAUGGAAUUAUAUAAUAUUAUGAUGCCAUUAUAUUUUUUAAAAGCAAACUCAGAACAAUAGACGUAAAACUAUAAACUUGUUAGGUGAUAAACACAGUGGUGCAGUCUAGUUCUGUUUGAAUUACCAUUGUAUUGGUCAAUUUAUCCUGGUAAUUUGCAAUAAUGUGUUGUGAAUGCCAAGAAUGCAUACAUAAGUACUGGUUUUUUACUGAUUAUUUUGUUUGCAUCAAUUAUACAAAUAUCAAGAUCAACAGAUAUCUUAUUGUAUUUAUAAUCUGAUGUGGUGAAAGCAUCGACAAAGGAACAAGGUUAGGAUAUAUGGGUCCAAUGAUGCUAGUAGAAAUUUACGUUACUCUGCUUUCUUUUAUGUUUGUCAUCACUUCUGCUAUGGAUGCUAAUGCUCCUCUACACUUGCUGGACCGUCGUAUCUAUGAGGAGCUGAGUGAACCCACAGAGACACUCGGACGAGGUGAUUUGGUUCUCAAAGAAAUGAUAGCCUACUACUGUAACCUUUAUGAUGUCUUCAACUACCUCAAGUGGAAAGAUGAGAAAGGUUUGGAGAUGAUCGAUGUGCUGGAGAAAGAAGGGGGCCCUAAACUGCCCAGUAUGGAAGUUAAUGGGGAAGCCAUCAAAAGAGCAUACAAGUGGGAAGAUCGUGAACUGGAAAUGAUAACGACGAUGCUCACCUCUAUCAAGUCUUUAUGGAACAAAGUAACGGAUAAGGUGUAUCAGUUUAGUAGUUCGCUAAAUGUACCACAUAGAUUCUAAACUAAUAGUAUUUAUUUAAUACACAACUAUUCACAGUGUUUUAUAUUCAUUCUUUAAGAAGUUUAACAGCUAAUGUAAUUAAUAUAAACUUUUCCAUAAACAACAAGUAUUGAGUCGUUUUGUGUGUAGAGAAUGUGGUGCAAUGUGUAUUCCUUUUAAAAAAUGGCCAACUGUUUACAUUGAAAGCUAAUUAAAAAAUUGUGGGAAAAUUGUUUAUCUGUACGGCAAGAAGCUGAAAUUUCUCUCCAUGAAAGUUAACAGAGAGUGUCCAGAGAUCUUUGACAUCUGCAGAGCUCCAGGAUCAUCAUAAGCGUGUGGAGAAGACAAUAUCUAUGGUUAUUGACUAUUAUCUGGAAUUGUAUGGUGUAUAUCGAGCGUACAAAAAGAAUCCAAAUCAAGAUAUAACCUUGAUAGAAAAAUUACAGGCAAAAGAACCCGUGGUAAACAAGGCACUUCAAGAAGACAACACUCAUUGUGAAGAGAAACAAAUGAAAAUAUUAAAUAUGACUUUGACUUGUAUCGAGGAAAUGUGGAUGUUUGUCAUGAAAAAAGCAGGAAUUCAUCAAACAGUUUAUUAGUUUAUAGCAGUAGGUUCAGUAAUAAAAUAAACACCUCAUAGGUUAUUUUAUGAAA
rnacentral:misc_RNA from 1 species